UACGGAGGGAGCUAGCGUUGUUCGGAAUUACUGGGCGUAAAGGGCGCGUAGGCGGACAGUUAAGUUGGGGGUGAAAGCCCGGGGCUCAACCUCGGAAUUGCCUUCAAUACUGGCUGUCUUGAGUAUGAGAGAGGUGUGUGGAACUCCGAGUGUAGAGGUGAAAUUCGUAGAUAUUCGGAAGAACACCAGUGGCGAAGGCGACACACUGGCUCAUUACUGACGCUGAGGCGCGAAAGCGUGGGGAGCAAACAGG
rnacentral:rRNA from 1 species